AAAGGCGUAAUGAAAGUGAAGGUCCGCCUUGCGCGGACCGAGGGAGGAUGGGUGGUCCCGAGGGGCCGCCUCGCACUCCCGGGGCGUCUCGUUCUCAUCGCGAGAAGAGGCGCACCCAGAGCGUACACGCUGGGACCCGAAAGAUGGUGAACUAUGCCUGGUCAGGACGAAGUCAGGGGAAACCCUGAUGGAGGUCCGUAGCGAUUCUGACGUGCAAAUCGAUCGUCGGAACUGGGUAUAGGGGCGAAAGACUAAUCGAACCAUCUAGUAGCUGGUUCCCUCCGAAGUUUCCCUCAGGAUAGCUGGCGCUCGUUUCUCGCGAGUCUCAUUCGGUAAAGCGAAUGAUUAGAGGCAUUGGGGUCGAAACGGCCUCAACCUAUUCUCAAACUUUAAAUGGGUGAGAUCUCCGGCUUGCUUGAACUGUGAAGCCGCGAGAUAUCGGAUCAGAGUGCCAAGUGGGCCACUUUUGGUAAGCAGAACUGGCGCUGUGGGAUGAACCAAACGCUGAGUUAAAGCGCCUAAAUCGACGCUUAUGGGA
rnacentral:rRNA from 1 species